AUCCAUUAUGGUUUUGAAAGCGCCUUUGUCUAUAACCGCCAUAACCCAGUCCAUCUGUAUAGGGCUCGCUUCCGUAUUCCUAUAUUAUGCAAUGUAAGGUUGAUUUUCUAUUUUGGUAAAACAGAGAUGAAUAUGGCAUGUUUUUACUAGUGAGAUUAUUGUGCUGUACCCGACGAUUGACAACAGUGGGACUUGUUUGCUCUAGUUAUUUAGAAGCAAAAAUUUUUUUCCUCAUAUCUCUCUCUCUUUCUGGGGUAGUCCUUUUUGGAAGAGUGCAACGUGACAUAGUCUAUGGGAUUGUAGGCAACAAAAAUGUAUAGGAAGAGUUAUUGUUGCUACAUAAUGGAAAUUACUUAGUGAGUACCAUAUCUUGUCGGUGAAAAUGGAUAUUUACUUUGCCGAUCAUUGCGUAGCUCGGUUUUUGCCAAGGAAAGAAACAAGUAAACCAGUUUGGUAAAGAAAAAGGAUGAUAAAAAAGGUUAGAGAUUUUAAGCGUAUCUAAAUAAAGGUAAGAUACUUUAAAAGUACGUUAAAAUCUGUGUCUUGUAAAAUUUCCAUUUGUAGAAUUGUUGCAUAAGGAUGGAGUACCACUGCUUUAGUAUAGUUAUACGUAACCAUGAGUUGGUUGUCUGUAGGACAUAGCGAGAAGAUUGAAAUUGCUAUACGUA